rnacentral:rRNA from 1 species
UGGGGAAUCUUGCGCAAUGGGCGAAAGCCUGACGCAGCGACGCCGCGUGAGUGAUGAAGGCCUUCGGGUUGUAAAGCUCUGUGGGGAGAGAAGAAUAAGUGCGGGCUAAUACUCCGCAUGAUGACGGUAUCUCCUUAGCAAGCACCGGCUAACUCUGUGCCAGCAGCCGCGGUAAGACAGAGGGUGCAAACGUUGUUCGGAAUUACUGGGCGUAAAGCGAGUGUAGGCGGUUCGAUAAGUCGGAUGUGAAAGCCCCGGGCUCAACCCGGGAAGUGCACUCGAUACUGUCGAGCUAGAGUAUCGGAGAGGUUGGUGGAAUUCUCGGUGUAGAGGUGAAAUUCGUAGAUAUCGAGAGGAACACCGGUGGCGAAGGCGGCCAACUGGACGAAUACUGACGCUGAGACUCGAAAGCGUGGGGAGCAAACAG